GAUGAAGAACGCAGCGAAAUGCGAUAAGUAAUGUGAAUUGCAGAAUUCAGUGAAUCAUCGAGUCUUUGAACGCACAUUGCGCCCCCUGGUAUUCCGGGGGGCAGGCCUGUCCGAGCGUCAUUGCCGCCCUCAAGCACGGCUUGUGUGUUGGGCCCCCGCCCCCCGGCUUCGGGGGGCGGGCCCGAAAGGCAGCGGCGGCACCGCGUCCGGUCCUCGAGCGUAUGGGGCUUCGUCACCCGCUCUGUAGGCCCGGCCGGCGCCCGCCGGCGACCCCAAUCAAUCUUUCCAGGUUGACCUCGGAUCAGGUAGGGAUACCCGCUGAACUUAAGCAUAUCAAUAAGCGGAGGA
rnacentral:misc_RNA from 1 species